UGGGGGAGGCAGCCUGAGGGCCUUUCCUGGGGUUGGAAGACCCCCACCUCAUCCCCAUUCUUGUCCUUGCCCAGGGCCUGGCCAAGAGGCCCCAGAGCCAGACCACAAAUACAUCCAUCAAUAAUCAAUCAAUGAGUCUCAAAUAGAGACGGUGAGAACUAGGCCAUUCUGGGAGAGGCGGGGUGGCUCCUGCCUAUUCUAAAGUCUGCAAAACAGGGUAGCAGUUAAGAACAUGGGCUUUGGAGUCAGGAGGAACUGAGUUCUAAUCCUGACUCUUUCUCUUUCCAGCCGUGUGACCGAUGGCAGGUCACUUUGCCUUCCGGGGCCUCAGUGUUCUCACCUAUACAAUGGGGAUGAGCAAAUAGGACCUACCUCCCAGGACACCUGGGAGGAUGAAAUGAGAUCACGUGUGUGAAGCUCUUAGCAUGGCGUGGGGGACACAGCAAGUGCAGGGGACGCAGCAACAGUGUGGCGGCUGCUACAUCACGGAGGCUGUAAGGCCAGACUCCUUGUCCCCAGUGCCCAGCUAGGUCCCUUGCCCCCCCGGCUCUGUUGUCUUUAGUGGCUCUUCCUCCUCACUCACUCCUCUGUGCAGUCACACAGCCCAACCCAGCUGCUGCACUCACCUGCUGCAUGACCCUGGGCAAGGUGCUUACUUUCCUUACGUCUGCAUUUCCUGAUUUAGAAAACAGGGUAAAGCUGCCCUGCCUGCAUGCUUCCAAGGCUCUGGCACACACACAAGGAUGUAGCCCAGCCCUUCCUCCAAGGAGUUCCAUGACAGGAAAGACAGAAGGGGAAAGAAAUACUUGCAAAUUCGGUGUGAGCUAUGACAGAGGUGCACGGACAUUCAGCAGGAGGCAGGCAAUGGCAUCACGGGCUCAGAGUACAGUGAGGGUGAAAGAAGAUGAUUCCACACAUAAUAGUUGCUCAGUAAACAUCUUUUCCCUUCUCCAGCCUUACUCUUUCCAUAUAGCCUAACUUUUUAGACUCAGCUGCUUUCCACCUCAGAACCCCAAUCUCUGUCCUUUCUGCUGAGCCUGCAAAAUCUGGAAGGAGGGAUAGAAGACGGGCCCCUUGGGGAGCCCCUCCUAUCAUCACCAACCUUAGUUAACAUUUGCUGUUUACUGUUUCCAGGCACUGGGCAGGUGUUCUGCAUACAUUAAAAUCUAAUUGAAUCCUCACAACAGCUCCACGGAACAGUUGUCAAGGCUGACCCAGAACCUAAGGGAGACAGACCAGAGGGAUAAAUCCAGAGAUAGAAAUGAGGUGUGGGGAGGUAAAAAGGAAGUGACCUGUCCCACAGUGAAUCUGCAGAAAAGCCAGUGAAGACCAGGUGGAUGAAAAUGAGGCUGGGGCCAUGCCCAUGGGGAGAUGUUGGACGAUGCUUGAGUGCAAGAUGGCAGCAGGCCGGGAGAGGCCCAGAAGAGAACUCACCACGCCGUGGGGGUGAGUAGCGGGAGGGACAGCAGCAUGUGCAUCCCCCAAAGGCCUCCAGUUUGUUUGUAAAGUCUCAGGCAGGAAUCUGCCCUUGUGAUCCUGAGGCCUCAUGUUUCAGGGCUCAAAGCUGGCCCUGGGGACAGGAGGUGGCAACUGGUGUCUGACCCCCUAAACCUGGUGCCUCCACUGAUCAACAGACCAGAUAAGGGACAGGUCACCCCCUGACCUUAGGGCCUUGAGGCCCAGGGCGGGGAGUGGGUGGUGGUGCUGCAGUUAGAGGAUCCCAUUCUCAGGACAGUAAACCCUCGAAAGAACUUCUCACCCACUAUUUUCCAAGCUUUAGUCACUUGCAUUCUGCUUUCAUAAUGUUGACCAUUUCCAAGUUCCCUUGUAUUUUUAAACUUAAAAUAAAG
rnacentral:lncRNA from 10 species